AACCGUUUCAGGGUCUCAGAGGUACCUGGGCGCAGCCAGGGCUCGGCUGCUGCAGAGUCUGAGCCAUCGUCCCCCAUGUGCUUCAUGUCAUCAGGGUCGACCAGUGAGCUCUCAUCAUCUGAAAGAGGCAAGAGGCACACUGGUGGCAAGGAGGUGAAGCGAACACACAUCUCCCUUAAUUUAACCCAUUCCAGCCCUGCAGUUCUCCAUAGUAUUUCAUUCUACACAGUACUGUUUUGUCCAGGCCCCUUAUCUUAGAUGUAGGAAGAAAAUGGUCAAGUGAAUAAGGUACAAACCCCACAGGGAUUCCAAAGAUAGCAAAGGAGACUGUAGAAGUGUAUGCAGUCUUAAAAACUUAAAUUUAGCAAAGUUUUAGAAGUCAGUCAAACCUGUUAAUGCUUUAAGGAAAUGAAGUCCUUUUAGGAAAGCACUAGACAGGCAGACAAGAGACAAAAUUACUUCCAUUCUUUACCUAAUCUAGGAGGCUGGUGUCUAACUCCGUUAAAAGGUAGAUCCUUAAUUUUUCAUUCUUCAAUUGCAUGUACUCAACUUCUAGAUCUGUAUUUUACUUAUUAGAUAGAAUAGGAAAAUCUGUCUUCCUACCCUGUGAUGUCAUUUUUUUUUUUUAAAUUACAUCUCCCGGUCUGUGAAGGAUUAGCCCAGCAAAGGGCUAUGUGCAGUCAAUUUAAUGAGCAAUCAAUCCACAUCGUACCAAAAAGCUCCUGUUUGAAAGGACAAUGUUAAAAAGAAGUUUAGAAGUUGAAAACCUGUAAGAGAUUCUUCAAAUGUUCUAUUUUCUCUCAAUUUAAACAAACAUAUUCCUGUUCAAUAUUAAUUACCUCUACUGGUUCUAAAAGAAAUUGAAGAAUAGGUCAUCCUCGGUACAGAUAUGCUCCAUCAGUUUACCGUAUGUGCUGGCAUCUGGUGUGGUAUCACCACCAGUACAUCUGAUACCCUGACUGCUGGAGAUUGUAGGAGUAUUAGUUUUAAAUUAAUAAAGUGUUAAAGAUAGGAAAAUCACUAUUAGAAAAUUACUGUAUAUAGCUCAACAGACUAAAGGGAAUUUUCCCAAAAGAUCACUCUUUCAAGGGGCUCACUAGCUGCCUAAGGAACCAUCCUGCCUGCCUGUGCUCCGUGAGCACACUUCAACCUGCUGCUCACCCAAACAAGGGGAGACCAUGAAGCCCUAAUGAAAAUACCACACCCGGGAUCCCUGGGUGGCGCAGCGGUUUAGCGCCGGCCUUUGGCCCAGGGCGCAAUUCUGGAGACCCGGGAUCGAAUCCCACAUCGGGUUCCCGGUGCAUGGAGCCUGCUUCUCCCUCUGCCUAUGUCUCUGCCUCUCUCUCUCUCUGUGUGUGUGUGACUAUCAUAAAUAAAUAAAAAUUAAAAAAAAAAAAAAGAAAAUACCACACCCUUGGCUUCUAUUCUAAAAAGAAACCACCUGAGGCUAUUUUGCUUUGUGGUAUUGAAAGCCAAGCAAAAAAGUAAAAAAAAAAAAAAUCUUCAAAGUACUAUAAAUUUAUAAUAGAUGUGUUAUCUAAAGAACACCAAGUUUUCGAGUUAAUUUCGGAUAAUCCCCCACUUCAGUAAGGGAAGUGAGGUGCUGAUACUAACCAGCAUCUUUCCUGCUGAAAGCAAAGAAAGCUUGGAUAUAUUUAAUAAAAAUUCCAUCUGUUUAGAAUCCACUCGAAAAAGCAUACCCUCCGGUAGAAUCGGAUGCAAAGCUGAUCCAAAGUCCAGGUUUUCCUGGAUAGCGUCUAUGGUUCUAGGCCUUAUAACCCAAAGGGAUUUCAAAAUUCAUCCCAUCUCUUCUCCCCAGCCCCAGCCAUUAGUGAGAACUUCCCUGUAAACAGGUUUGAGUUCUUACAGAAAUAUGCUGUAGUCCACCAAGACUGGCUAUUUACCUGUAUUAACUGGUUUAUUCUGAAUUUCAUUCAGUCUUCGCAUCCGUUCCUCAUUUUUCAUUCUAAGCUGAUCAAUAUUUAUGCUGGACACCGAUUUUAAAGAGAGACCAUCUGGUGGCACAUUAGGAUGACUGUUAUCCUACAAUUAAAAACAGAAUUUCAGAAACAGUCAUUACUAAAACGUUAAUCAGUGAGCCUAAAAAUAUUCUUGCCCCUGAUAAAUGUACAGUGUGCAGAAUAAAAACAAAUGGAAAUCUGUAGCAUUUAUAUUCUAACCCCUGGUGUUUAUUUAUGCAGGCUCAGAUGAAGAUCCAGCACUUGUGAUGAUAAUAUUUGAAUGCAGCCAGGCUGGGUACAAGUGGGGAAUUAGAGUACCCAAAAGAAAGCAAGCUCUCUGAGGGCAGAGAUUUUUGUCCCUUUUGCUCACGCCAGUACCCCCAGCACCUUAGCAUCAUACCUGGCCCACAGUAGAUGACAAAUUUUGGAUAUGCAUUUUAAUAGGAAGAGAAUCAGAGUUCACCUUUAACUCCCUGAGCAAGAAAUCUGGCAUCUUACAUCACAGUAUAUUACAGAACUUUAACAUCUGUUAUUACAACCUCUUAUAUUAAAAAAUAUGGUAAAAUUCACUGUAAUCUUUCAUGAUCUUCCGAUGCAAAGUAUCCUGUUAGAAGAAUAUAAUGAGUUAGCUUUACCUUAAAAUGUUCACAUAGUAGAGAGAUUAAAUAUUGGUUUUUCUGACCUCAAAGAUUAUAAAGACCAGCUCUGCUAUUUACUGGCAAGUUUGACCUCGAUUUCAUCAUCUAUAUGAUGCAGAUGAUGUCUAGUCCUUCUACUUAAGUGAAGUUAUAUACUGUAAAG